AUUGAACGCUGGCGGCAGGCCUAACACAUGCAAGUCGAACGAGUGGCGGACGGGUGAGUAAUGUCUGGGAAACUGCCUGAUGGAGGGGGAUAACUACUGGAAACGGUAGCUAAUACCGCAUACCAUCAGAUGUGCCCAGAUGGGAUUAGCUAGUUGGUGGGGUAACGGCUCACCAAGGCGACGAUCCCUAGCUGGUCUGAGAGGAUGACCGGGCACCCUGGAACAGAGAGACGGUCCAGCGUCCUACGGGAGGCAGCAGUGGGGAAGAGUGCACAAUGGGCGAAAGCCUGAUGGAGCCAUGCCGCGUUGAUGAAGAAGGCCUGCGGGUUGUAAAGUACUUUCAGUGGGGAGGCGGUACCCGCAGAAGAAGCGCCGGCUAACUCCGUGCCAGCAGCCGCGGUAAUAC
rnacentral:rRNA from 1 species